UAAAAAAUAUAAUGAAACCUGCAUCUGCAAAUAUAAAGCCUAAGUUUAAAAGUUGGUUUGUAAUUUUAGGGUUUGUAAAUAUUACUUCAGUUUUGUGUUUCGUGGCGAUUCUGUGUACAAAGAUACCUUUUGAUUUGGAGAUAGAGCGAAAGGAAGAUGAUUUAAGCUCCGGCGACCGGAACCCGGAAGUAGCGCGCGUGGCUGCCAGAGGCGUCCUCGUCAGAGGAGUCUCCUCUCUCUCUCUCUCUCCUCUUCUGUUUUUUUUUCUGUUUUGCUCACUGUACAUUUUUGUUACCGAUAUAUGCUUGGUUAUGUGGGAUGAGAUCAGCCGUGGUGCUGUAGAUCUGCUCCGGGGGGGGGGGGGGGGGGGGUUCUACGUCUGUGGUCAGUGGUUUAUGUACCGGAGUUUCAGUUAGGUGGUGAAGGCUGUGGGGGAACAGAGUCGAUUUUUUGGGUGUUGCCUCCGGCGGUUCUCAUUUUCUCUCUGUAGAUCUCUUCAGUGGUUUCAGUGGCGGAGGCGAGUGUAGGUUGCGGCGGGCUCCCUCCUCCUCGUCUACCUGUGGUGUAUCCGAAGAGUUAUCUCUUUGUAGUGGAGGGGAGUGACCAACUCUCUUGUUACUGCGGCUUGGCGUCUCGUCGUGGGUAAUAGGUUCUCGUUUUUACUCAAGGGAGGCGGUGGUUCUAUUCAUUGGGCAGUGCACAGUGGGUUCUGUGGCUGUCUGAAACACAUACGGUUACACGCCACUUUUCAUAUCUCCGGAGUCUGACACUGUAAUAACUCGGAACAACGCCUAGGCCAACCGAUCAUCACCUUCUCUUGCAGCGGUGACUUGGCCGAUCUCGCGUCAACUCGGCCGCAUUUUUAAACACUUGUUUCUAUAACGAAAAGUGUAGGACAUUUGAAAUGAAUUGGAGUAAGAACAUUGUAAAGAAAAGCAACAAAGAAACAGUAUAUAAAUAAGGAAAUUUCUUAAGAAAUUUUCUUUGGAAGGGUUAUGUCUUUUGGUACUUCUUCUUUUUUUGUUUGUAACACAAACACACUGUGUUUUCUGGAAGUUUAUGUUUCGGUAGUUCUUUGGAA